rnacentral:tRNA from 1 species
GGCCGUGUGGUGAAGUGGUUAACACGGCGGUCUGCAAAACCGCUAUGCGCCGGUUCAACUCCGGCCACGGCCU